ensembl:lncRNA
CAGGGUUUCGAUCAAGAUUCCCAAGUGGGAGUCACGGGGUAGGAACGCAAAGCAGCCUGGCGGGGCUCACCCCAGAGCAGAGGCCGGGCUGGUGUGAGUAGCCACUUGCCUCUGUGGACCCGGCUAUCUUGGGGCAGGGCCCAGCCCCAUACCAGAGGCCUGAGGAUGGGGCCAGAUCAGAGCAGUGGGCUUCAGGCCCAAGGGGGUGCCUAGCGGCUCGUGGCAAGAGGUCAGGGAAGGAAAGAUUGGGACACUGCAGGGAGGGGCCUGCUGGAACCUCCUGUGCCCACGGUGCCACGGGGUGGGGACUGUGAGUAUGAGAGAGUGAGUGGCUCUGAGGAGGGGAUGUUUUCCAUCUCAGUGGGGCUAUUUCUGGCUCUGCUUCUGCAGUCACUGUGGAAACUGCACGUGCCCGGUUCAGUGCAGAAACAUGACGAGUUUUUCAAGGGUGAUGUGCACUAACCAGCCGGCCGGGAAGCUGCCGCCACCGCUGGCAGGGUGUGUGUGUGUCUGCCCGCCUCUCCCCUCCCCAUCUCCUUCUCUCUCGGUCUGGGCCGCCUUUCUCCUGGAGCUGUAUUCAGGGGAGACGUGUUCCUUGCAGCGUGAUAGGUAGACAGAAUAAGGAACUUUAGAGGCUGUCCGCCUCAUCUCUGUGCAUGCAUAGAGUCGGACACGACUGAGUGACUAACACACACACUCCACCUGAGCCCAGUGCUAUCACAAAGGGAUUUAAGUGUGGAACGGGAAACCAGAGACUCAGUGUCAGGGAUGUGAUGGGAGGAAGGCUCCACUGCCCUGGCUGGCUUUGAGGAUGGAGGAGGGGGCUGUGAUACCAGGAGUAUAGGCAGACCCCAGAAGCUGGAAAGGGUGAGCAAGUGGACUCUCCCAAGAAGCUCCAAAAGAAACAGAGCCUGAUAGUACCUUGACUGUAGCCCAGUGGUCCAUUUUGGGCUUGUGACCUCCAGAACUGGAAGAGUAUACAUUUGCGCUUUUUAAGCCCCUGAUGGGUGUGUGUUACAGUGGCCGCAGGCAGUGACCCAGGAGGCUGAUGGAGCCUAUCAUGGGGAAAGGUCCUCAGAGAGGAAAGCUGCAGGCAUGAUCUUUUGUUUUCUUGGGGUCUGAUCAUUGCCUGUUGCCUUACUCUGGACACAGGUCCCCUCUGACUAGCUUGCUCUCUGAGGGGAAAGUGACUGUCCCCUCAGUAAGCACCCAGCUCUUCAGACCCCAGAGUAAGGUGUCCUGCAACUGGCCUGUGCAGAUGCCCAUCUGUUCAGUCCAGAAUGCCACCCCCAUGUCCCUCCAUAAGCCCUCCAGUUCCUGAAGGCCCCCUAUCCUGUCUUCUCUAACUGACUUCUCCUUCCUUUGACAUUAGUGCCACUCGUGGGGCUUUCCUCGUGGCUCAGAUGGUAAAGAAUCCGUAAGCAAUGCAGGAAACCCAAGUUCAAUCCCUGGGUCAGGAAGAUCCCCUGGAGAUGGAAAUGGCAACCCACUCCAGUAUUCUUGCCUGGAGAAUUCCAAGGACAGAGGGGCCUGGCAGGCUACAGUCCAUGAGGUUGCAAAGAGUCAGACACAGCUGAGCAAC